GCUGCUGUGAGGACAAGGAAGAGUCAGUGCCUAGAGGAGCUGCCUACAAGAAACAUCAAGGAGAUCUUCUUCCAGUGUGAUGCUGCCUUCCUACGCCCUCCAGGAGCCGGUGGGCUGCAGGACCCGCGCCCAGCACUGCUCCAGCAGCUGUCACAGGAAAACGAGAGGGUUUCAUAACAAGAGAGUGGGCAACUGUAAUUUGGGUACUCAGGAACUCGUGGGAGGCUGUUUCUUGACUCCAAAGGCAAGUUGAUAAAUGAGGAUAUACAGUGGGAGAUGCACAGGCUUCGGAACACUUUGCAGGAACUGCUACCAGGAGAUCCGCGGGGGCCAUACCCAGCUACUUAUGUCUUCUGGCACCUUCAGAAAUACUAUGGUUUCUCCUGAAGGACCAUCUUGCUGCCAAAUGCUUUUUGCAUGUGUUCAAUGGAUGCCUGAGUCACAGAUUCUACAGAGCUAACACUCACAAAACUAAGUUUAUUUUUGAUCUCCUUUCCAAAACUUCUUUUCUAAUUCAUAAUUGUAGUUGACAGCACCUUUGACAUGCCUUUCCAUAAACUGAGCCUUAAGACAGACAUACAGUGAAGGCCCUGGGUUGUAUUUGCUUUCUAAAUUAACAUCCAGGCUGUGAUCAAUGUGGCAGUGCGUGGAUAACAAAGUUAUUGUUUCAGGCUGUUUGCUGGCAGCAUCAGCAGAAUAACCCCAGCGGUGUCGGUUCAAGUCACACACGAGUGAAAAGCCUCCUGCUCUAGGGUGGCCUUGGUUCCCAAUCCCAGUUCCAUAAAAAGAACACCUCUCCAAUCACUGUCUUGUCCAGGUGAACAAGAUAAGGACUUAAUCACUCCUUCUUCCAGAGUAGUUUAAAUAAUAUCUGUACAGAAGGUUUUUCUGUGAUGCUGACAUACAUAUUACAAUGAAUAAAAAACCCCCGGCCCUCA